AUUGAACGCUGGCGGCAUGCCUUACACAUGCAAGUCGAACGGUAACAGGUCUUCGGACGCUGACGAGUGGCGAACGGGUGAGUAAUGCAUCGGAACGUGCCCAGUCGUGGGGGAUAACUGCUCGAAAGAGCAGCUAAUACCGCAUACGACCUGAGGGUGAAAGCGGGGGACCGUAAGGCCUCGCGCGAUUGGAGCGGCCGAUGUCAGAUUAGCUAGUUGGUGGGGUAAAGGCCUACCAAGGCAACGAUCUGUAGUUGGUCUGAGAGGACGACCAGCCACACUGGAACUGAGACACGGCGCAGACUCCUACGGGAGGAAGCAGUGGGGAAGAUUGGGCAAUGGGCGAAAGCCUGAUGCAGCAAUGACGCGUGAGGGAGGAAGGUCUGCGGAUAGGAAAAAGAUGUUAUGAGGGAAGAAAAAAUGUGGACGGAAACAGGGAGGGCGUGACGGUACCUGAGAAAAAAGCAACGGCGAACUACGUG
rnacentral:rRNA from 1 species